AGGCAGUUAGCUCAAUAGGUUAGAGCAUUUCGUUUACACCGAAGAGGUUGGCGGUUCAAGUCCGCUGCUGCCUA
rnacentral:tRNA from 2 species